AGAACGAACGCUGGCGGCAUGCCUAAUACAUGCAAGUCGAACGAAGGCUUCGGCCUUAGUGGCGCACGGGUGCGUAACGCGUGGGAAUCUGCCCCUUGGUUCGGAAUAACAGUUGGAAACGACUGCUAAUACCGGAUGAUGACGAAAGUCCAAAGAUUUAUCGCCAAGGGAUGAGCCCGCGUAGGAUUAGCUAGUUGGUGAGGUAAAGGCUCACCAAGGCGACGAUCCUUAGCUGGUCUGAGAGGAUGAUCAGCCACACUGGGACUGAGACACGGCCCAGACUCCUACGGGAGGCAGCAGUAGGGAAUAUUGGACAAUGGGCGAAAGCCUGAUCCAGCAAUGCCGCGUGAGUGAUGAAGGCCUUAGGUUGUAAAGCUCUUUACCCGAGAUGAUAAUGACAGUAUCGGAGAAUAAGCCCGGCUAACUCCGUGCCAGCAGCCGC
rnacentral:rRNA from 1 species